AUGAACGCUGGCGGCGUGCUUAACACCUGCCAGUCGGACGGGAAACCUUUUAAUGAAGCUUCGGCAGAUUUAGCUGGUUUCUAGUGGCGGACGGGUGAGUAACGCGUGGGUAACCUGCCUUAUACAGGGGGAUAACAGUCAGAAAUGACUGCUAAUACCGCAUAAGCGCACAGGACCGCAUGGUCCGGUGUGAAAAACUCCGGUGGUAUAAGAUGGACCCGCGUUGGAUUAGCUUGUUGGUGGGGUAACGGCUCACCAAGGCGACGAUCCAUAGCCGGCCUGAGAGGGUGAACGGCCACAUUGGGACUGGGACACGGCGCAGACUCCUACGGGAGGCAGCAGUGGGGAAUAUUGCACAAUGGGGGAAACCCUGAUGGCGCGACGCCGCGUGAAGGAAGAAGUAUCUCGGUAUGUAAACUUCUAUCAGCAGGGAAGAUAGUGACGGUACCUGACUAAGAAGCCCCGGCUAACUACGUG
rnacentral:rRNA from 1 species